CACAUGCAGUCGAACGGAGCUGAGAGGAGCUUGCUUUUCUUAGCUUAGUGGCGAACGGGUGAGUAACGCGUGAGUAACCUGCCCUGGAGUGGGGGACAACAGUUGGAAACGACUGCUAAUACCGCAUAAGCCCACGGAUCCGCAUGGAUCUGCGGGAAAAGGAUUUAUUCGCUUCAGGAUGGACUCGCGUCCAAUUAGCUAGUUGGUGAGGUAACGGCCCACCAAGGCGACGAUUGGUAGCCGGACUGAGAGGUUGAACGGCCACAUUGGGACUGAGACACGGCCCAGACUCCUACGGGAGGCAGCAGUGGGGGAUAUUGCACAAUGGGGGAAACCCUGAUGCAGCGACGCCGCGUGGAGGAAGAAGGUUUUCGGAUUGUAAACUCCUGUCGUUAGGGACGAUAAUGACGGUACCUAACAAGAAAGCACCGGCUAACUACGUGCCAGCAGCCGCGGUAAAACGUAGGGUGCAAGCGUUGUCCGGAAUUACUGGGUGUAAAGGGAGCGCAGACGGACCGGCAAGUUGGAAGUGAAAACUAUGGGCUCAACCCAUAAAUUGCUUUCAAAACUGCUGGCCUUGAGUAGUGCAGAGGUAGGUGGAAUUCCCGGUGUAGCGGUGGAAUGCGUAGAUAUCGGGAGGAACACCAGUGGCGAAGGCGACCUACUGGGCACCAACUGACGCUGAGGCUCGAAAGCAUGGGUAGCAAACAGGAUUAGAUACCCUGGUAGUCCAUGCCGUAAACGAUGAUUACUAGGUGUUGGAGGAUUGACCCCUUCAGUGCCGCAGUUAACACAAUAAGUAAUCCACCUGGGGAGUACGACCGCAAGGUUGAAACUCAGAGGAAUUGACGGGGGCCCGCACAAGCAGUGGAGUAUGUGGUUUAAUUCG
rnacentral:rRNA from 1 species